UUCUUCGAAAGACUUUCCGUUUGUCCUCGUCUACUGAUGUCUACUGAUUUAAGCUUACCGCCGAUAAAAUACACCAUUCAAUAGUGUUUUAUUGCCAGUCAUCUUUGCGCUAAAAGUGUUUACUUACUCCACUGGUGGAGUGAAGAUUCGUGAACGUCGCAGGUUUUUAAACCGUGAAGAUUACUUCGUUGAAGACCGGAUUGGCGUCCGAGUGUCCGAGUGUGCGAGUCCAAACCCAGUGUGUUUCUUUUCCACGUUGAUAUCUGGCCGGGUCUUUUCUUUGGAUCGAUUCAAGUGUUCAAGUGAAUUCAGCUGCUGUGCGAUCGCCUUCAAGUACCUCCGUGAAGGCGAACCCCAACAGCUGUGGCGAGCCUGGCCUUCAGAUAAGAACUGUUGAUAACUGAAUGAAUGAGACUCUUUUAUUUUGUUUUGUCUUGUUUUCUUCUUCGUCUUUUGUAAUACAGUGUAUUCAGCGUUUCAUGCUAUAGCUUCUAUUACCUGUCCUAUUUAUAUAUUUCUAUCUACUCACCCGGGUGAUUUGGCCUAGUUGUCUAUUGGAUUAUAUCUGGUGAAUGUAGUUGCAGAUUUAAUCGUCUGCAAUAUAUAUUUUUAUUUUUAAUUAUUUAUUUUAUUUGAAUCUGCAGAUUCUCUUUUGUUUAUCUGAUUGUUGUUUGUUUAUGUCCAUCUUAUUGGACAGAAAGCCUACUACACUAAGUUAUUCACUCACCAAUUUAUGAAAUAUUAAUAUCCCCCUACUUAUCAUCUUGAUUAUUAUUAAUACAAUAUUUCUAACUUACAAACUCCGUCUGUGUGUGUUUUGCUUUUGCUCUGUGUUGGUACACUCCUUUCUUUAGUAGCGAGCCUAGGUUUUAUUGAUGCGCAACACAAGCAGAAGGUAAAGACAAUAUUUUGUCAAAAUAGUGAA